UUAUUACGUGCAAAAAAUGGUGUCACGAAAGUCAUAGUGCGUGAAAAUCCUCGAAAGUAUGAGUUUUUGUGCAAAUUCAUUAAGUGCGUUGUCGGGUUUGUUCGUGGGUGUAUAUACAUAUGUACAUAUGCGUGUAGAUAUAAAUGUAACAAGCUUAAUGCGUUUUGCGGUUGGCUUACGUCGCGAGUGUCGGAUAUUAAUUGCUACAGUGUUGUGAAAAAAAAUAACGCGUGGUGUAAUAUUGUCAAAGCAAUUAUGUAAAGGCUUGCGACAUCUUCUACUGCUGCCACGCCCACUAUGUGUUUCACCAAACAACUUUAUGGACUUGCCAAGUGUGCUUUGGACUGCGUUAUUUGUGCGCGGUAAUAAAAUUUAUGCGACGCUGAGCACGCGCGGGCGCUAAACGCUACAAAUAAAUGCCGCCUAACCGACAACAACAACGAGUUGCAAGCAAACAAUAUGUGCAAAGCUGAGCUUAAAGCAAACAAAUUUCGGCUAUUGUUUUCAAUUCCUGGAUGGUACAUUAAUAGUCACGUAUGGAACGUGACCAUCACAGUGAUAAGAGACUGCAAGGCAUAUAAACGAUUUUGUCAAGCACGGUGUGGGGACACAGUUUUGUACCAGCAGACAAGAACUACAAACUGGACAAGAGAUUUUCAAUUCCAAAAACAACCACGAAAUUUGAAAAGAACUUCAUGAAAAGCGAGAGAUUUUAACUUUAGACAAAAACACAGCAAUUUUGGACCAAGAGUAACGAUUUUUUAGCGAGAACAUAAAGAAAUAACAAUUAGAGUAUAAAGUCAAAUAAAAUAAAAAUAUAAACACAAAAAUCAUAAAACAA
rnacentral:misc_RNA from 1 species